GUUUCUGCGUCAACCUUUUGUUGAACGGUUGAGGUCGACUGCUGUUUUGUUGUCAACUGCCGCUAGGGGGUUGUACCAUGGGAAAGUUCAACCUCUGUUUUUGCGUCAAGCAAAAUUCCGAGUUGAACUAGAAAAGUUGAAUUCGCUCAACCGUGGUCUGGACCACGGUUGAUCUUUAGUUCAACUGCAUAUCAUACAUCUCCCCGCCCCUUUUUUUGCACACCACAGUCAUUAUAUAAAUAAAUGAGGCAACGGUGUUUCAUUAUUAUACUUUUUUAUUAUUUUUCUUUCAGGCAUUACAUUAUAAUUUGAAUGUUUCUAAUUUAUCAGAGAUAAAUCUUAAUGAAAAUGGAAAGUGAAAGUAGUAUUUUGCCUGAUAAAAGUGAUAAUAAUGCCUUAAAGGAGUGUUGGAAUGGUGGGAAAAGGGCAUCACAAUUGAACAUUGAUAUGGAAGCAACAGAAUUGUUACUGAAUCUCUUAAAAGAGAAGUGGAGUCUCUUUAUUGACAACAAAACAAA